GAUGAACGCUAGCUACAGGCUUAACACAUGCAAGUCGAGGGGAAACGACAUCGAAAGCUUGCUUUUGAUGGGCGUCGACCGGCGCACGGGUGAGUAAGGCGUAUCCAACCUGCCCAUCACUUGGGAAUAACCUUGCGAAAGUAAGACUAAUACCCAAUGACAUCCCACGAAGACAUCUGAAUGGGAUUAAAGAUUUAUCGGUGAUGGAUGGGGAUGCGUCUGAUUAGCUUGUUGGCGGGGUAACGGCCCACCAAGGCAACGAUCAGUAGGGGUUCUGAGAGGAAGGUCCCCCACAUUGGAACUGAGACACGGUCCAAACUCCUACGGGGGGCAGCAGUGAGGAAUAUUGGUCAAUGGGCGAGAGCCUGAACCAGCCAAGUAGCGUGCAGGAUGACGGCCCUAUGGGUUGUAAACUGCUUUUAUAAGGGAAUAAAGUGGGUCUCGUGAGACUUUUUGCAUGUACCUUAUGAAUAAGGACCGGCUAAUUCCGUG
rnacentral:rRNA from 1 species